GGCCUCCCAGUUCUUACCACAGGCUGUGUUCUUUACACUGACUGUAUAGAAAGAAGAGGUAUAAUAAAUGCACCCCAUAUACACCUCAAUCCAGGCAUUUGCCUAGUCCGUAUUGUGAAUUGGGGAACAAAA